UCCAAGAACGAACUUAAGUUGUAAAUGUGUGUCAGACUUUUUGAGCCCCCUGCCCCGAUGGCAUUUGGGGCUACAGGGAGGUCACUGCCACCUUCCAGGAAUGCAGACUUCAAGCUUGAGGCUACAUUUACAACAAUGGCCAGAUUCUUGCCUGUCGAGUCCCGCAUGCUGGGCUGCAUGGCUUCCAUGCCUUCCCCAGCUCUGGGUCCCUUGUAGGACGCCUACCAGCAUCAGUAGAGCCUGCCUUCUGCAUCUGCUAUGAGUUCUGUGUGUUCACAAUAGCAACUGGACAUAAAACACCACACAAAGUGUUCUGAUUUCAAAUCUGGAAGAGAUGAACGUUAGCAACAGCUUCCCAGUGAUGGAGAGGGGAGUUCAAGGACGAGAAGAUCAAAGAUUGCAGCUCUCAGGUGGGAACCGCAAGCCCAGGAUUAAGCACGCUGUCACUUGGUCACAGCAUGAACCAGCCCCACAGAAAGCAAUCUGGAUUUACUCCCUGGGAAACAAGAUCACCAUUUCCCCUCUGUGGGUCUGAGUUUUGUUCUAUGGCUAAUGCCUCACCUGACACUGAACUGUUUGGGCAGGUUUCAGAUGAGGAAUGAAGGCUUGCGGAUCUAGAUGUUAAUUUCACAUAGAAGCUUCUGGUCCUUUUAUUUGAGGAUAACGAAAUGGAAAUGGGUUGACAUUCUCCUUGCUUUCCUGGGUUAUGUGUCACCAAAACCAAAAUGUGGAGCUACUUCACGUGUGGCCAGUUAAGGGGACAGCCUCAGAAGAGUUGGCCAGGCCUGUGUCCCUUUGUGCCUGGAGAGCAUCAUCUGCAGCAUCAACUCCUAGGAAGAACCAGGAGCCAGCACGUGACAGCACAAAAUUCAUGCCGUCUUCACAUGGUUAAUCAGUACUUGGUACAUGAGGAUGUUUGCAGCUCACUGAGUUUUAAGGGAAAGAAGGAAAAAGAAAAGAAAAAGCCAGAAUGGACAACCUCCACACAGAGUUGCUGUCCUCAGCCUGGCUGACGACAUUCUGUGAGAUGGUCCAUGGCGUGGCAUCUUCGGGAAGCCAGUCUGACUCGACACUUGGAAAGUCUCUACCUGCUGUUGUGAAGGAUGCUGCUGUGAACCUGGGUAGACAAGCAUCUGGGUUCCAAAUAGAGAGCAGAACCAUGGAGGAAGAAAAGUGAAAAACUCAAAACAGUUGUUUUCAGCGCAGUUUGAAACCUGGAAGGAGGAUGAGAUUAUCCCAUCUCCUAAGAUCUUCCACUUGUCCAUUUGGAAGCAAUUUGGCUGAAAAUUCAGAUCUUUUUCGAGUCACUCUCUCCACUCAAAGUCUAAGAACCCCACUACAGGCUCUGAUUAUUAUCAUUAGUAUUGUCUUCAAAGAAUA